GACGUAGGGGGCGAGCGUUAAUCGGAAUUACUGGGCGUAAAGCGUGCGUAGGCGGUUCUCCAAGUCCGUUGUGAAAGCCCCGGGCUCAACCUGGGAAUGGCAGUGGAAACUAGGGGACUGGAAUCUGGCAGUGGGGGGUGGAAUGCCGCGUGUAGCAGUGAAAUGCGUAGAGAUGCGGCGGAACACCGAUGGCGAAGGCAGCCCCCUGGGCUGAGAUUGACGCUCAGGCACGAAAGCGUGGGGAGCAAACAGG
rnacentral:rRNA from 1 species